AUUUAAGCCUCGAAGUAUCCACUGUUUACUGCGUGUUGUUUGUUCUCCAAGGACAUUAGGUUUAAGCCAUAGCUACCCCAAUCACACCUCUUUUAAAUCUGAUGCAAGAAGUUUGCCAAUUAGUGGAAAUUCUGGAUCAAAGGGAUUCAAAAGUUGUGGAGGUAUAAUGGCAUCAGAAGCAAUUUCUCCUGCGAGAUCUUUUAUGGACAAGGAAACCCUAAUGCUAUGAACAGACAUCAACAAUUUUGAUCAGCUAAACUGUCUGUUCGAAAGAAUGUUAUAAUAGGCAACCUAAGGGAAAAUGAUCAUCUCUUCCAAUGGACCCAUAGUUAAAUGCACUCUAAGAGGCUCUUAUGAGCCUAGGAAAGCAAUUCUACCUUUUAAACCAAAGUUUACUUUAUCAAUCAAUGAACUUGAGCAUCGUUCCUGCUAGCAAUAUCUCCCUGAAGGACCAUUCCUGGAAAAAGCUCUUUUAAAAUCUAAUGCUAUGGUCUU